AAUUAAUAUUAAUAUUAAGAGUAUUUAAAAAAGAAUUAUUUGUAUCAAAUUCAGAAUCCUACGGCUUUUAAUAUUGUUGAAGGCGUCAGCAAAUAAAAUGUCUUAUUAUAUCUCAGCUCUGCCCACACAGUUUUCUGAGCAGCUCAAAGGAAAAUAAAUAUAUAUUAAGCAAGAUAUAUGAAACUUUGUAAGUAUUUUGCUGUGCAAGUGAAGUUCGUCUGUGGAUUUUUCCAUGUCUUGUUGUAGUUUGUUAUGACUGCAUAUGACUUACAGACACCACGUAAACACACACUGCUACACACCGAACACACACACACACACACACGCACACAUAUCCGUACGAGGCACUUCCGUUACAAGCUACCCUUAGUCAGCUUCCUCGCUUUCCCCUACUUGUGCCCACACUCUCCGCGCUUUUCCACGGACUUUGACAGGGACAGCCCACGACUUAAUAACACUUUAAAUUACUUUCAUUUCCGUUUUUGUUAUUCCAAGCGCGUCACUAUGGCAGCUGGAGAAGCUGGUGGGUGGCAGGCUGCCUCUUUUCCACCCUGCCGCCGCCGACCCCCCCCCUUUUAAGUGCACCCCUCUUUGGCUCUCAAGGCGUUUGCUUAUUCUUAAUUAAGUUGCCGCACUAGAAAGCCACAACAGCAGCGAAGACACUCCAAUAAAGGCGAAUAAGUGAAGAAUAACUACAGCGGUCGGUCGAUAAUUAGUUUUUUGCCUUCUUAGACCUUUUCAAGUAUCAAGAUAAUUUGAAAGAGCAACGGAGAAACCAGAGUAUCUGGUAUAUUUGCACUGUUAGUAUGGAAAAUCCCACGUCGAUCACACACCAAUCUUAAAUAAAAUAUUCUGAAGGAACAAACAUAUAUGGUAGUAGUUAGAAAUAACUUCUCAAUCCAAUAUAUCGCACUUACUCCAAAUAUUUUACAGUGUAAUGAGCUGUGUAGUUUGCAAAUACCUAGAAAAUGUUUCUACUCGAAUGAAAGCAAUGAAAGUGGUGGGCUUUAAUUGAAUUAAUAUUGAAAUUCCUAAUUAAAUUACGACUUAUAUCGGUUAAAACUAAAUACUCUCUUCGCUUUAUAUCUAAGAGAUUUCCUCUGCCAACUUCUCUUUAGUUAUAAAAAAAAAUGACGCCUGCGCUGCAGGCGAAAAAUUCCGCCCCAACGACGCCGGCAGCGCUGUUUGCGUCGACUGCAGCAGCGCCAUGUUGUCUGUCUCACUCCCACACCGCCGCCCAACUAGUGCCAUCUCCCUUCGGCGUGGGAGUCUGGGCGAUAUUUGCUGCUGGUUUUUUGGAGCUGAGCGUACAAGAAAUUUCGAGGUUAACACGCCGGCAAUUAAUUUGUGCAUCCAUUGCAGUCGAAAUUCAAUUUACGCAGCCAUAAAAAACAGAGAAACCCCAAAAGAAGCGUGUGAGCGGGAUGGAGCGGGGCGAGAGAGGGAUAGGGAUAGACGGCGAUUGGCAGAUUGCAUUUUAAAUCCGCUUAACGGACUUUGCCUGGGAGUAAUAGGCGGAAACGGAAGUGGGAGCGGAUGAAAAGUGCGGGAGGCAUACUUCAAUGUUGGUCAGCCAAUUAAAAAAUAUGAACGCAGCAACAAGAUUAAAAGCGAAAUGCAGCAAAACCCCACGGACCUUUAUGGCGGUUCUGGUUAAAGGGAAUACACUGAAAAACAGAUUAAUAGGAAGUAAUGCAGUGAAAUAAAAUGGCAAAGGAAAACUUGUUAUAAUAAGGCAAAUCAAUAGAACGGAACUAUCACAAAGGUAUUAUACAAUUUCUUUGACUGAUGUUAGUGUAGAAAAACUCCUUUCAGCCACAAACUUCCAUCGCCUCAGUGGACACGCCACAAGUUUUCACUGUACCGAAACUGACCCCAACUUGAGCUGACCCCAAACGAGCAACGGGAACUGUGGGGCACAGGCGGCAUUUGUGGAAAUAGAAGAACCAGCGACAUAAAUAGAUUUAAGCGCCGCAGGGAUUUGUAUUCCUUAUUGGAAUUUUUUUUUUUCUUUAUCCAGCAGCAAAGUUUAGAAUUACCCCCAACGUAAUUGAAAAGUUUGCCGGCAAUAUAUGUGAAGGGGGUUAUACUACACAGUGUAGUUGUAGUGCCCCUUCGACUACCACAUAUAUUUAUGGGCAGCCAACAUGGGGGAUUUGAGAUGGGCAAUAUAUGUACGGCAGGACAUACAUAAAUAGUUUUAGUUUUAUAUUUGAGCAUACAUUGCCAGAGCAAUUGUCUUAAUGCAAUGUUAAAGUUUGCAGUUGACAAAACCGGAAGUGGUCGCCGGAGAAUUGAAAAGAUGGGGGUGGGGAAUUCAAUGGCUAGUGAUGGGUUUGCAAACUAAAGUUUUCUUGAUGAUAGAUACGGGUUUUUUAGUUUAUAGUUUAUGGUUUCUCAAAUUUCGGUUCAAGUCGAAUUUACAUGAGAAAUACUUACUGUGGUAAGCGAGUGGACAGGGAAUUCAGUUUUGUAGUUUAAUCUUGAAACAGAAACAAAUAACUCAAGGCGCCAUAUCAAUUUUCGAAAUCUUUUUUCUUUAGCUGUUUAAAUGUGUUAAAAACAGAAUCUACACAAAAAGUGUGUUAAAAAAUAAUCAAAGAUAGGUGGUACUUGAAGUAUAUACAUUAAAUAGCUUUAAUCAAACUGAUGCACAGGCUCUUCGCAAUCUGCAAUUUGUAUUGGCGUUUACACAAUAUUGGGCAUAGAAAAUUAAACAAAACAGCUGGAAUGAAACAAUUACUCAGCUGCAAGUGCAGCAGAAUGCACACACAAAUAUCCUCAUCCUUGGCCCAAAACAAUUCGCACAGGAGCAAAAGGGAGCGAAAGGACAAAGGGAUGGCGUUGCCACCACAGCCUGACAAACAAAAUAAUUUGAUGUAAAUGCUAACUAAACACAUAUACACACAUAUACAUACACAUGAACAAACAAACAAUUUAAACGCACACACGAAUAUAUACAUAUACAGCAUUUUGGUCGAGUAAAACUUUAGUUUUGGCUAUUUGCUUAUUUGCCCCCCACAAAAUUCCCCAUUUCAUGUCCUUCAUCCUUUGGGCCCAUCGCUUGCAGCUGUUAAGUUUGAUUUAUGCCAUUUUGCUGGGCCUAAAACAAUGAGUGGGCGUGGCCGGCAGGGGGCGAACGAGCAGGGUUGCCAUGCAACACUUUAAUUGCCCAAAUGACUGUUUAUUGAUUUAUGUGAAAAAUGUAGAUUAAUGCCAUUAGUAGCAGUUCUCACACUCGCUCUCUGUUCAAAAACCCCUAUGCCUUUAUAAUUGAAUGAAUGGAAAUGGAAAUUAUAUUUGCCUAGUAAAAUUCUAAAUCUAGUAUUUGUAUUUAAACUCGCUCAUAUGCGAAUUUAUGCCAGAAUGCGAAAUGCACACACAUAUGAAUGUGUAUUUAUGAAGAGCCACUGCAAAGUGGGCAUCGAUGUCUGCUUAAUUACGGCAAGUUUUUACAUAAAUAUUUACACCUGCCUGCGUGCGUGUUUUUUAAUGGGCUAAAAGCCACCCACUUAAGUACUCGGCGGUUUGAUUAAUUAGUUUGGCAAUUAAAAUAAAUUAGCAAAUAAAUUUCAGCUCGCUCAAAGAGUAAUUAAAAAACGGAUUUCAAUCAUUGGAUAUGGUUCGGUUACAUUUGCAUCCAUCAACUGCAAAUAUCUCUUGAUCGCUGGGGAAUUACACUAAUCGACUUGUAUUGCGAUUUAUUACGAAAUAAAUUUUAAUAGUGUUUUUUACAUUUCUUCAUUUCCAUCUUUUUUUUUUGAGUUUGCUGUAAAUAAAUUUUGUUUGGCCCCAAACUUUUUGAUAAAUCACUGCAACGGAAAGUUUGUCCCAAACUGCAGCGGGAAAAUGCUGCCCUCAAGGGCCACGCCCACUGGGCACGGGGGAAACCUCCCCAACCCAAAAUUCCAAAAUAAAAAGUUUAUUUCGAACUGCAUUCGUCCGAGGCAAGUUUGAAAGCUGCUAAAUUGCACAGUGGUUGCAAGUUAUUGGAAAUUAUAAACUUUCUAGCAACUAUUAUAUGUAUUUGCGCGCUUAUAUUAAGUAAUUUUAAAGGGAAUUAAAGGGUAAUUUUUAGGAAUUAAAUAAAAAAAUUGUAUAGCUCCAUUUCUUGAUCAAAAAUUAUUGCACUUCAACUUAAACUGAAAUUUGGCACGCAACAAACUAGCGGCAACUUUAGGGACACACACAAACACACAGAGUUUCACACAGACAAUGGCUGAGGGCACGUAGCAAAUGCAAACUGACUCCCCCUCUCCGCACCUGUCACCCACGCUACCCGCCCUAACCAGCAGCUCCCCAGCCCACAAGGCCACCCAUCGAACUAACACUCAACUAAGCAGAUUUGUGAUGGCGCGUCGCAUUAAUAAUUUGCCAAAUUAAUAAAUAAUCACGGAUUUUCUGGUUUGUUAGCUUUCCUUCUUUUUUUUUUUUCGUUUCCUAAAUCCGGUUGUACGCCCACGGCCACGCCCCUCCAGCGCACUGGCGCCCUAAUUCAAAUGCUAAGCGCCAUGAAUUUUGCUCCCCAAUGAGCACAAAUUGGUUUCGCUCGCAUCUCAUCUUUUGUUUAUCUUUUUUUUUGGUAUUUUUUGUGUGACGACCAUGGCCAUGCGAAAUAUUGUGAAUGCCGAAUAUUGACUACCUCUGCGCUGUCCGUUGCCAUGGAAUAUUAAGUGGUUCGUUGGGAUGGGAAGCAUUUUGAUCAGCCACGCAUAAAGUUCUGCCACAUCUAAUGGAUUGUCUGAUAUUUCCAUUUGCCCCCUCGUGCCGCUGGGGAAAAAGCAGUGGAUGAAGCAUUUCACUUCUAUGCCACUUCGUAAUCGAAUUGAAUUUACAUGCGAGAUUUUUUUUUUUAUUUUUGGUUCGGUUUUGGUUUGCUGCGCUGCAAACAAUUGCAAAUUAAAUAUAAAUUUGGGUUUCCCGUGGGGCAAGUGGUAACGUGAAAAUGUUCCCUUGGUCAGAAUCCAUUUCGGUUGAGUUCAGUUCAUUUAGCCGGCAGCGUAGUAGCAUUUAUUCCAUUGAAAUUACUUUAGUUGAUAAUGUCUAUAUUUUUUCCAUUUAUUAUUUAUUUAUUUCAGUGAAAUUGCUUUAGUUGAUAAUGUCGAUUUUUUUAAAUUUAUUAUUUAUUUAUCUCAGUAAAUUGCUGAUCAUUUACAUUUUUUCUUUCGAUUUUUUAAAUAAAUAAUAGUUUGAAUAUUAUUUUAGGUGUAUAUAUAAGCUAUUGAAGAAUAAUUAUUUGAGCUAUGAAAACUUCAAAACCUCAAUAAUUUACCAAAAGUACAUAUUUUGUGCAGAAAAUAAAAUGGCAAAAGCUCACCACUUAUUUCGGAUUAAUAUCUGGCCAUUUUGCUAGCAUUUCAGCACUCUCAGUGCUUCAUUUCGAUGACUGCAAUUAAAAUGGCAAUUAAGAAAAUUCUACUUCCGCCACUGAAGCUUUUCACUCCCGCACACACACACACACACACACACAUGUUCCUACAUACAGAAUCACUCAAAUUACCCAUACGCACUGUAGGACACUCACAAACACUCUACCAUAUUAACGGAAAUUAAUUUCAGUGUUUCAUCCGCUUGCAUUUUCUUCUUUUUAUUUUCUUUUUUUUUCGAGCUGUAUUUUUACUCAUGUGCUCGUUUUCCUUUGCCGCUUUUCUUUACUUUUUGUUUCUAUAACAAUGCUCUUCGCCGAGCAUAGUUUUUUUUUCCUUUGUUUUUGUAUAAUUCCCGCUCUCCGUUUGCAGCUGAUGUUCAUUUCCCUGUGAAUGCACAGAGUGCGGAUGAAUGGGAAUGGAAAAGCGGGUGGUGGAAAUGGAAAUAUGGAAAACUCUGGGCCAAAGUCAAAGUGAAAGGAGAUGGGGAACAGCAGGCAUUCAAUGAGUUUUUGCUCCUUUUCCUGCAUUCAAUGCAUCAUCAUAUGCCUGAAUGACUGACUGACUGAGUAAAUGAAUGAAUGAUGGAAUGAAUGCGUGAUUGAGGGCCUCUAAAUGAAAGCGUACCAGCUCUUCUUGAUUGAAGGGCCAAAGGAAAUGCUUAAAAAUGCAUAUGAUAAUUUGUAAUUGUUUCUAAUUUUCCCCAUCCUUGACGUCUUCGAAAUUGAUUCCACGAAAAAUCCAUGGUAUAAUUAUCGAGUUUAUUGCUGUUAUGGCUUCGUGUCCAUAAACUCCACAUUUACCCCCUUUGCUUUUGAUUUCUCAACGAGCCUCACUCAAUAAUUCAUUCAAUUCUUUGGAAACGGUCAAUACACGACAGAAACUUCAACUUCAAUGCAAUCAACUCGACAGUUCGUUAAUUUUGCAAAUGUAAACGGAACUAAAGCAAGUUGGGGUUUUUUCCCCAUUAUUUGUAAGAAAGAUACCAUUUUUUAAAAAUUUAAAGAUGAUUUUAAACUGCUUGCAAGUUUCUGGUUUUCAUAUUCAAAGAGCUAAAUUAAAAAAGGCUUUUAAAGGCCAUCGUUUGAGUCCACAUGACAACCGCACUUUCGAAAACCUGUCAAAGGCUAAACAAUACUCGAUCAUUAUAGGUUUCCCCCAUUUUCAAGCCAAAUUCCACCCCAAUUUCACCAGAUUCUACCGCUCCCCCGCGCCUUUUCACAACGAGCAAUGUUCAUGUCUGAAAAUGCAAAUUGCAGACAAUCAAUGACCACAGGCAACAAAGGGCCAGCCAGAUACAUCACCCACCCACCAAUGCCAAGGAAAGCCCAACCCAAUCAGGUGUUGAGCUAGUGUAAUUUAUGCCUGGUCGGUCUGCUUCAAUUGUUUGUUGGAUCCAAGCAUAUCGGGCCGUCUGGCAAAUUAAAGUCCUUGGAUUCCUUGUGAGUGGAAACUGGAAUUCCGAGAGACUGGCAAAUAAUUAAUGCUCUACACAAUGUGCAAGAUGGGACGUAAUUUUGGGGCGAGUAGAUAGAGGAACGGUUUAGACACGCUCUUGGCACUUUGCGGUUGCACUUGAUUCGCUUGCGUAAUGCAACAAAGAUGCAUCUAACUUAAUUAGCAACCAAAUGGCAAGUAGGAGUCCUCCGCACUCUGAAAUCGGAUUUCUUGGCCAUUGCUUUGGGGUUUCUUUGGUUUUUGCGAACUACCCACUCUUGACUAUCUCCUUUUGUGGCAUGUUUUCAAGUCCCGUGUCUGACAGAUAUUUUCCGACACACAAAACAGAAUGGGGAAAAGCAAUUAGCAAAUAAAGGGAAAUUCAAAUGAACUAGUCAAGGCCUGACCUUGAUAAUUCCCAGCACAGAUUUUCGUAAGUACCAUAUCAAGUAUUUAAAAAGGUCAAAGAUUUUGUAUCCCUCAGCCAGCGAAGUUUUCACUGCUGCAGUUUAAAAAUCCCCCUCGGAAAAAGCUUAAAAACUGCACAACGAAGAGGAAAAACUUUUGCAAUAACUCUUUGGGUGGAGGGAAAAUUGUUGCUCGCUGGUCUGAAAAUCUGCGAGCAGCCAUAAAAUAUUGUUGUUACAACGGCUUUUCCCCCGCUUGCCAGCCCGGGUAUAAAAACAAAAUUAACGCAAUGCAUCGAUGUCCGAGUAAGUCCGGCGUGCUUGGAAGGGCAAGGACGGGGCGUGAAAACCGCGUAAUAAUAAAAUAUGAUACGAAAACCUUGUAAAGCGACUUUCAGACAAUUUAUAACGGUCAGCUGCAGUCGGAGGACGAAGAAAAGUUGGGGUUUUGAACCCCUGUUCCGUUUGGUUUGCCAUUAAAGACUAGGGAUUGGCCAAAAUAAAGGGGAAAAACAAACACAAUGUAAUAGUCUCAUAUUGGAUUUGCCAAAGCCAAUAGCAUAACAUGUGCGGAAUAAUUGAAGGAAACUAAGUUUUGUCUAAAUGACACCAUUAAAGACGAACAGAAAAUGGAUGAUAACGUUUUGAAUUGGGAUUAAGCUAGUAAAGUAAUUAUUUAUCUUUAAAAUUCAAAUCUUUCAAAACAAAAUGUAUAUUAAAUAGGCUACUAAUCUUAUAACAUUUUUUUAAUAAAUUGAAUAUUGUCUAAAAGCUAUCUUCGCUGAUUGAUAAAAUGUGUGCGCAAGUGCUUGUCACAUUUAAUUACACGCACAUUUAAAUGCACGUUACUCGGUCAUUAAUUAAAUUGCAUCUUAAUUGAUAUAUCCAAACCAUUUAAAAUUUAAAUAAUUAAUUUCGAUAAAUAAAUACGUGCAUAUAUCGGUCCGUACGACUUCCAACCGCAAAAGAAUCGCGCCCGCCACUCGAAUGCAUUGCAAUCAAAUUUAUUGCUACCGAAAUACAAGAAAAAAAAAAUGCUUCUGUGGAAACAAUUGAAGAGGAAAAGGCAUCCAGCGGAUGCAGUGCAGCAACAGGAAGAGCAAAGUGGAUAAUAUUACACACCCAUACUGGACGAGAACAGUAGUGGUUGGUUGUUUGGGCGUGGGUGGGUGGAAAACGACUAAGCAUUUUUGGGGUCACCGGAAAAACGCCCCCACUGCAUCCGCAUCCGCAUCUGUGGCUUCCAUUUCAAUUUUUUUCCCUCUCUUUUUUUUUCCAGCCGCUUUCUUUUUUAUUGAAAUAUUACCCUCGAGUCGGCUGCACUUUGAACUUCCCACCCACGCAGAAGACUGCUGCAAAAUGUCAAGUGUCAGCGCGAAUGUUGGCCAGUUUUUGUGGGCUGCCGCCAAAUGUCAGGAUGCGUGGCACGUGCGGCAAUUGCUGCAGUUGCAGCAACGUCGCAACUUGCUGCUCCAUCAGCAGCAACAUCAUCACCGCCACCACCAGGGGCUGGAACUGAAAAAGCAGCAGUGGCUUGUCACUUGCAGUUAAGUUCCAUAAUUUGCCAGAGCAAGCCAACAACUUGGAGCCCAAUGCCCCAUUGCAUUAGCCACAGGCAGCUGUUGUGGCAGAUGCUGCCAUUCCAGGGAGACCGCAGCUUUAAGGAUCCACAGAGCACUUGGUUCUAGGUAUUGCAACGAGAGCUCGAAACAGUUUCAUUUUAAAUGCCCAUUCAAAUAAAUGGCAUUUUGUGAGUGGGUGACAUCAGUAUCUAAUUAUCAAGCAAGUUUAAUUAUAGCAAACUGCUCAAAAGUUUCUUGGACAGGUGUCCAGAAGUAUGCAGUGAACAAUUUGAUUGCACCUUGGAAAAGACAACCAAGCAUUUAAAAGGAUGAAAGGUCAUUUAAUUUGAUACUAUUGAAUGAAGUAAAUUGCCUAUAAAAUUGUUUAGUGGAAAGAGUAGUGUAUCUUAAAGCAGGCUUUUUUUCUUCUCUCCCACGCUUUUCCCGCUUCCUUUUAGUUUGCUUGCGGGGUGGGAUCAAAGCCUCAUGUUUUUGGUCACUUGGUUAAGGCUUGUCCAGGCGGAGACGGUUGUUGUGGGCUUCGUCCCUCUUGUUUUUGGCCAGCCAACCAGCCAUCCAACCAGCUAUCCAACCAGUCGGCCAACGGGGCGUAUGCGUGAUCUGGGCGGAUCCUUUGUCCUGUUCUCGCCAUCGUUUCGUUGCCUGUUUAUUUGCAUUGUUCGCAGGACACUGUCGCUGUGUCCUUGUGCUGGUAAUGUUGGCGUGUGGCACUUGUGCACUUUGUCACUUUUGUUUUAACGCUUACGCUUUAUUGAGUUAAUCGCUUUAUGUCCGGCAUUUCUCUCCGCUGUUUGCCUUUCUGCACUUUUGCCAGCUCAGCACUUUUAAUUAAUCCAGCAGCCAGGAGAUAGUUUCUCCUGCUUUUACCCGCUACUCCCACUUCACCCGCUUUUCCAACUUUUCCUGCUUUUGCCAUACCUGCAUUGCUAUUACAGCUGCUUUCCUCGCUGGUUUAAUCGCUACGCCUUUUCGUUAUUUGUCCCCUUUUUGGUAAAUAAAGUUUAAUGUGUUUUCAUUGAUUACAUCAGUGCGUGUGUACGCCUCCAUUUUCCUCUCUCACGCUCUCUUUCUGUGGUCAUUAU